UUGGGAAUUUUGCGCAAUGGACGAAAGUCUGACGCAGCGACGCCGCGUGGAGGAUGAAGGUUUUCGGAUCGUAAACUCCUUUUAAUGGUGAGUAAUUUGUGAAAGUAGCCAUUGAAUAAGCACCGGCUAACUCCGUGCCAGCAGCCGCGGUAAUACGGAGGGUGCAAACGUUGUCCGGAAUCACUGGGCGUAAAGCGCAUGUAGGUGGUUUUGUAAGUCAUGAAUGAAAGACCGACGCCUAACGUCGGAACCGUUCCUGAUACUGCAUCACUAGAGAAUGGCAGGGGUAUGCGGAACUUUGAGUGUAGGAGUGAAAUCCGUAGAUAUUCAAAGGAACACCAAUGGCGAAGGCAGCAUACUGGGCUUUUUCUGACACUGAGAUGCGAAAGCGUGGGGAGCAAACGGG
rnacentral:rRNA from 1 species